UCGGGAAUUUUGGGCAAUGGGCGAAAGCCUGACCCAGCAACGCCGCGUGAAGGAUGAAGUAUUUCGGUAUGUAAACUUCGAAAGAAUGGGAAGAAUCAAUGACGGUACCAUUUAUAAGGUCCGGCUAACUACGUGCCAGCAGCCGCGGUAAUACGUAGGGACCAAGCGUUGUUCGGAUUUACUGGGCGUAAAGGGCGCGUAGGCGGCCUAGCAAGUCACUUGUGAAAUCUCCGGGCUUAACUCGGAACUGCCAAGUGAAACUGCUGGGCUAGAGUGCAGAAGGGGCAAUCGGAAUUCUUGGUGUAGCGGUGAAAUGCGUAGAUAUCAAGAGGAACACCUGAGGUGAAGACGGGUUGCUGGGCUGACACUGACGCUGAGGCGCGAAAGCCAGGGGAGCAAACGG
rnacentral:rRNA from 1 species